CAAACCGCGAUGAAAUUUCAACCUGCCCAACACGAUUACUGGUCCACCUAGAAAUGCCGUGGAGCGAUUUAAGAGCCUCGGAAAUUUCCUUUAAGGUCAGGAGAGAAGCUGGUAACAGAUGGGGCGAAGGAGGAAAAGUUCUUUUUGCGGCACCCUCACGCCUUCCCAGCCCUUUCGCGGUUUACUCGCUCCCCGGAAAGCAGACUAGUCUCACUCUGUUGCCCAGGCUGGAGUGCAGUGGCGCGAUCUCAGCUUACUUCAGCCUCCGCCUCCCGGUUUCAAGUGAAUUCUCCAGCCUCAACUUCACAAGUAGCUGGGAUUACAGGGCAUUCAAGCAGCCCUGAGGAGAGGUCCACAUGGUGAGCCACUGAGGGCCUUGCCAAGAGCCAGCACCAACGGUCCAGGUUUGGAGUGUACCACCUUGGAAGUGAAUCUUCCAGUCCAGUCAAGCCUUCAGAUGACUUCAGAACCGUCCAUGUAAGCCACUCUUGGAUUCCUGACCCACAGAAACUGUUGGAGACAGACAAACAUGUGCCUCCUGAUUGAAAAAACAGAACAUCACCUGUAGUCUUGCCAGUGAGAUCAAACUGAAGUCCAAUUAACCUCUGGAUCCAGCUGCCAAUUUGCAGGAAAUAGAGGAGAGAAGCAUCUGUUGAACUGCACCAUGAGUAUACACUCAGCAAAGGCCAAACUGUGGAAAAUGAUACAGGUCAAACAGCCUGGAUUCUUUAACAGUGAUGUUUCUGAAGCACCAAUGAAAAUGAAGUCCUGAAGUCCUGUGCUCAAUAUGAAAUGUUGGAAGUUAGAAGAAAAAAACAAAACUUGGAUCCAAUCUCAAGGCACUUUUUGUUUAAUGGGAAGAAGUGGAUUAUUUUAAAAGCUACAAAUAAAGUUACAUAAAAGUAGCAAA
rnacentral:lncRNA from 1 species